UUUUGUUUUUGCAACUACAUGUCACUUUGUCCGUUAUCCUGUUUACACAGGAGCAGAAAGCUGGGCUGGGGUGAGUCCUUCCACCCCAGGGGAGUUGACAUUACAUGUAUCCCACAUGGCCCUGGGCAUUCUCCACUGAGAUACCACAGCAGAGAGGACACACAGAGAUAAAGAAGUCUGGAACAGAAUGAACCUCCCUAGGCAUCAUCCUACGCUAACAGGCAACACACCCGUUGUAAUUAGAAAAAGGCAGAAUUGAAUUUCUCAGCUAAAGACCCUAAAACCUGCGGGAUUGAUUGCAAAUGUUUGAAAUAAAUGACCGAUUUCAUCACAGUGGUGUGAUCUUAUGGGUCUGACAUACCUCCCUGAGGACAAGUCAUAUUUGAUGCUAACUGGACUUUUUUGGUAACAUGGCAGAAGGCUCAAUGAGGACCUUAGAAAACCUUGAGGAAAUUCCCUCAGUUUCAGUGACUCCAAUAAAAUGAAAUGACUACUUAUUA